UUUGGAACAACAACGGGAUGUUUGUGUGUGAGGAAAAAACGGCUCCGUAAGUGAAAAAAAACGCGACCCGAAUGGUGUGAAAACGGUGCGUUUUGUGGCAGUGAACGGGCGUCAAACCAUAAAAUAUUAAAAAAAAAACGAAAAAUAGUUCGUACCGUAUACGGCGUGUAUGUGAGAGAAUGUUUGUCUGUGUUCGCAAGUGUACUGAAUUGUAAUAUAAGUUUUACAGUGUAUAGUAACGAUUGAUCGUAAGUGCAACAAAAGCAAUGAUCAGCAAACCACGCUGAGUGCAGUUUUUCAUUGUAUAUCCAGGAAUAACGGCCCUAUCACCUAUUUGUUGCAGCAUAAAGUCGGGACGUAUGCAUUAGGAGAAACGAGUUUGUUGUCUUCGGUAUCUAACAGCAAGAAACGAAAUCUUCCCGAUCUUUGUAUACUACGGAACUUGAACGGAACUGCAACAGAAUAAUUUCUCAGCCGAACGUUACCGUAUAAACAGCAAGCAGUUGAGAAAUAUUUUUUGGAUUUAUACACACUGGAUACAUCGUUCAUGCAAUUGCACGCUAAACAAACAACACGAAACUGGCAAACGCGCUUCGCUUUCUCAACGUCAACAUCUUCAGGCCAUACAAGGAUCUAGUGCCAAAUUUAUUCCGUUAAGAACCACCAGAUAGUCAGAACUUGCGAUACAAACUGUUGAAGUCGUCGUGCAGUGGAAAAUCAACCAACUUUCCUAACAAACCAAGAAAAGGAAGAAGGAAUUACGAAUUCAAAACCAAGUUACUCCCGCAGAAAAGGAAGUACAUACUGAUGUCUUAAAGACAAUUUUAGCACAAAACUGCAUUCUCACGGAACAUCAGUAGCGCCGAGCAAGUACAGACUUUUCUUGGACGUGGGAAAGAAAGUUAAAACAGCAGCAGCAAUCCCACAGAGAUCGAGAACUCGAAGAAUCAUUUGCAUCCCUCAACUUCUAGUCAUCCAGUCAUCAAGGCAACGCAACAUUCGAAACCGAUAAUACCGACGACUGCCAAAUUUUGCUUCAUUCCCCUCAACUGCAUAUUUGGAAAUACUCUGGGAAAUAAUUCUGCGGGUAGAAUAAAGUGGACGCAACAUUGCAGUCAUUGUGCUUUUUCUUAUCUUCCAUUCGGUUCGGUUGCUGAUUCUGGCAUUGGUUCCAAUAGGACACGUAUAUUUUCAAUUAAAAGGAUAAAGAAAUAGAUCGCUUCGUCUGCAUGUAGAUAGAGCCCAAGCGGAAGCGCAAUCGUCAGUAAAAGCUUCAUCAGAAAUAUUCACAACCGAGUGCAGUUUAAUUCAUUCUAUAUUUAGAUACCAUUUCAAAA